rnacentral:rRNA from 1 species
GAUGAACGCUGGCGGCGUGCCUAAUACAUGCAAGUCGAGCGAACAGACGAGGAGCUUGCUCCUCUGACGUUAGCGGCGGACGGGUGAGUAACACGUGGAUAACCUACCUAUAAGACUGGGAUAACUUCGGGAAACCGGAGCUAAUACCGGAUAAUAUAUUGAACCGCAUGGUUCAAUAGUGAAAGACGGUUUUGCUGUCACUUAUAGAUGGAUCCGCGCCGCAUUAGCUAGUUGGUAAGGUAACGGCUUACCAAGGCGACGAUGCGUAGCCGACCUGAGAGGGUGAUCGGCCACACUGGAACUGAGACACGGUCCAGACUCCUACGGGAGGCAGCAGUAGGGAAUCUUCCGCAAUGGGCGAAAGCCUGACGGAGCAACGCCGCGUGAGUGAUGAAGGUCUUCGGAUCGUAAAACUCUGUUAUUAGGGAAAAACAAAUGUGUAAGUAACUAUGCCCGUCUUGACGGUACCUAAUAAGAAAGCCCCGGCUAACUACGUG